UACGUAGGGGGCGAGCGUUGUCCGGAUUUAUUGGGCGUAAAGAGCUCGUAGGCGGUUCGAUAAGUCGGACGUGAAAUCUCCACGCUCAACGUGGAGGGGCCGUUCGAUACUGUCGUGACUCGAGUCCGGUAGGGGAGUGUGGAAUUCCCGGUGUAGCGGUGAAAUGCGCAGAUAUCAGGAGGAACACCAGCGGCGAAGGCGGCGCUCUGGGCCGGUACUGACGCUGAGGAGCGAAAGCGUGGGUAGCAAACAGG
rnacentral:rRNA from 1 species